rnacentral:rRNA from 1 species
UGGACGUCAAGUCCUCAUGGCCCUUAUGGGUACGAGCUUCACACGUCAUACAAUGGUCGGUACAGAGGGUUGCCAAGCCGCGAGGCGGAGCCGAAUCCCACAAAGCCGAUCGUAGUCCGGAUUGUUCUCUGCAACUCGAGAGCAUGAAGUCGGAAUCGCUAGUAAUCGCAGGUCAGCAUACUGCGGUGAAUACGUUCCCGGGUCUU